rnacentral:piRNA from 1 species
UNCAUAGAGCAGCUUCAGGAAGGAGGAC